ACACACACACACACACACACACACACACACACACACACACACACACACACACACACACACACACACACACACACACACACACACACACACACACACACGUGUGGAACGUGAUGUUUUAAGUGAUAUGAUGUCUGUUUUGAUUUUACUGGCAGUGGCAUCGGUAGCAUCUGUGUUAGUCUGACGAUAAAUAGAGACACAGAGAGAAAAGAGUGACAAAGGUUGUCAAGCACUUAAUCUGACCACUAGUAUUUAUCCAUAGAGGAGAUAGUAUUUAUCCAUAUAGGAGAUAGUAUUUAUCCAUAUAGGAGAUAGUAGUUAUCCAUAGAGGAGAUAGUAGUUCUCCAUAGAGGAGAUGGUAGUUAUCCAUAGAGGAGAUGGUAGUUAUCCAUAGAGGAGAUAGUAGUUAUCCAUAGAGGAGAUAGUAGUUAUCCAUAGAGGAGAUAGUAGUUAUCCAUAGAGGAGAUAGUAUUUAUCCUUAGAGGAGAUAGUAUUUAUCCAUAGAGGUCUUAGAGGUCUUAGAAGUUAGCUAGGCUGCCAAAGUUAGAGAGCUAGACAGGCGCUCUACAGGCCGAGUCACACACAACACCACUCCCAUCCAGCUACGGGUGUCAGGGAACCACAGCGAGGCUAUCCAGUUCCUGCUCAUCAAGUCCCCCCUGGGAUUCUUCUGGCUCCAACGACACAAUCCAUUCAUCAACUGGUCUACUGGUGCCAUCAUGAGCUGGAGUCCGUUCUGCCACGCCCAUUUCCUGAAGUCAUGACAACCUGCCCCAGGACGUCUUCACGGGGGCUCGGAAGGUGCCUCGGAUCUCUCCACCAUUUCCAUGGAGUACCAGGACCUCCGGGAGGUGUUCAGCAAGGUCCGGGCCAUGUCGCUUCCGCCGCACCGACCCUAUGACUGCGGGAUUGACCUUCUCUCUAGCAUCACACUGCCCCGGGGACGUCUGUACUCUCUGUCGGGACCGGAAACCAAGGCUAUGGAUACCUACAUAUCACCUUAGCUGCUGGAUUUAUCCGUCCCUAUUCCUCUCCCGCCAGCACACGGUUCUUCUUCUUGGAGGAAAGGGAUAAGACCUUGUGCGCGUGCAUUGACCAAUGACGUUACAGUUAAGAACCGUUACCACGCUACCACUCAUCUCCUCGACCUUCGCGCCGCUCCAGAGUGCCACUGUGUUUUCCAAGCUGGAUCACAUUACCUUCCUCCUCUCCUGAAGCGACCAGGUUCGGGAGCCGGGAUAGGAUAGGUAGUCCGCCGUGACGUUCCUUUUUUCCUGCCUUGUGACGGACACAGAACCUGAAAGGUUGGAGCUCCAGAUACCACCUGGUCACACGAGAAUUCCGGUCCUUCAUGGUCUGGAUCCAGGUCAGGGCUCUGUGGUCCGUGUGCAGGUCAAAUUCCCUCCCAAGAAGUUAGUAACGGAGGCUAUCUAGGGCCCACUUUAUAGCCAGGCACUCCUUCUCGAUUGUUGAAUACCUGGUUUCCCUGGGCAACAGCUUUCGACUCAGGUACAGCACGGGAAGCUCUUCCCCUGGCUCCCCUUGGGCCAGUACAGCUCCAAUUCCCACAGCCGAAGUGUCCACCUGCACGAGAAAUCUCUUCAGCAAAUCCGGGGUCUGCAGAACAGGGAAUGAGCACAGUCGUUUUUUCAGCAUCAUGAAUGCUUCCUCACACUCCUCAGUCCACUUCACAGGGUUGCUGGCCACCUUUGAAGUGAGGUUGGUUAGAGGGACAGCGAUGGUCGAGAACUGCAGAAUGAAUCUCCGGUACCAACCUACCAGACCUAGGAAGGACUUCACCUGUGUCUUGGUUCUGGGUUGAGGGCUGUUCAUGAUGGACUCCACUCUGUCCAUCUGAGGCCGAACUUCACCUUUACCCAGCUAGUAACCCGGAAUGAAUCUCCGGUACCAACCUGCCAGACCUAGGAAGGACUUCACCUGUGUCUUGAUUCUGGGUUGAGGGCUGUUCAUGAUGGACUCCACUUUGUCCAUCUGAGGCCGAACUUCACCUUUACCCAGCUGGUAACCCAGGUACUUUUUGCCUCCUGUUUCGCCCAUUCACACUUCAGGAGGUUAACUUCAUUAGGGUAGGGGGCACUAUUUUCACCUCCUGAUUUAAUAUCCAGCACUUAUUUGUAUGACUUAUUCAAAACUGUCAAUGAACGGCUGCAAACAUACACAGCCUCACAUCAUUCAUUUUCAAAGUCACAAUUAGGCAUAUCAGAUUUAAAAUAUACAAUAACACUGGCAGAACUGGGAAGAACUUAAAAUCAGUGUGGAGAAUAACAGUAGUGUUUUUGCUGAGAAGCAAGGUAAUAACCCUAUAUUUUAGCCCAUUGUUAAUAAUGAGAAUUGUUCCACUGAUCAGACUAAGUAAAGUAAAUAGAUAAUAAAAUCUCCUGAAGACGAGAGAAUGUAAAUCUGCCCCUACACCCUAACCAAAUUAUUUUAUAUUCAUUGUCCGUCCUCUAGAAUCAAACUUACACUUUUUGGUUCCCAAUCUGUUUGACACAUUGUUUUUCAUAGAUACCACCCUACCAAACUUCCCUGCUAAAACAUACUGUAGGUCUGUCUGCUGCCUUUUCGUUGUCACAGCCGAAAUGCCAAACACCAAAACGAGGGGACUAAUGCAGGUGUAGAUUGAAUUGAUUUUAGUACAUGCUGUCAAAAGGCUGCAUUCUGCAUAGGGACGGGAGAAACAGCAACCUCAUUUUGUUGACAAGUUACAUUGUAUAUAUAACAGCACUACCAUGAUGCUGUUGUUUUUUUACACAGAUGAACACACACACUCAGAUGAUCACACACACACACACACACACACACACACACACACACACACACACACACAAAGAAGAAUGCUUCCUCUCGCAGUUCAGCUCCACUCUAAUCUAGAGGGGCGUUUCUUUAAAACACGCAUCCAAUCCCCUUGAUCCCUUACAUUACUAGACCAAUCAUACGCUUCAAUGUGUCGCGGUUCGCACUGCUGUCGCAAGACUGGAAAAUGAUUGGCUUGAAUCGAAUGAUAGACGGAAAGCAGGAGCAAAGCCUAUCCGUUUUACUGUCGUUUGAUGAAGUGUGUUUUCACAAUUGACAUAAAACUUGGGUAUGUGAGAUAUGAGGUGAGACUGUAUGUACAGAAGUCGCUGCAGUGUUACAAUUGUAAAAAGUUUGGUCAAGUGAAUGUCGAAGGAAUAACUAUGUCGUAGUUGAAGAGUCAGAUGAAGCAUGUUGUUGUAACUGUGAUGGGAAUCAUGUUCCCGAGUUCCCAGAAUGCCCUGUAAGGAUGAAGGGGGUCGCAGUAGCUAGGACCAGGGCUAUCCAGCAGGUCUCCUAUAUGGAGGCAGUUGACAUAGGAGUGAGCAGAGAGGAGAUGGUAGUGGAUGUCCCACAGUCUGCUGUGAAAACCACAUAGGAGAAGGAUCCCGACACACCAAUAUUGAAGAAGGUGGACUUUGUCGCUUUUAUAGCGCAAGUGAUAAAUUGCACUAGACAAACAAAUAAAAAAUAUAAGAAGCUAGACAUCACUGUGAAGGCGCAAAUAGAUUUCUGGAUCUCCAAGGCUUUACAGCCAAAAUGUUACAGGGAGUACUGAAUGAAGAGGUUCCCCCUCCCAGGUUCCUGAGCCUAUGUGGGGAUCUGAAUAGACAUUUAAAUCCAACUGAAGGAGAACAGUUUUUUAAAAUAAUUAAAUUCAGGGUAGUACCGUGAAUUUGGUUAAUAUCAAGCAGUACUGGAGCCCAAAGUCUAGGUUCAAGAGGCUUCUAAACAGCUUCUAACCCCAAGCCAUAAGACUCCUGAACAUCUAAUCAAAUGGCUACCCAGACAAUUUGCAUCCCCCCCCCUCUUCUACACUGCUGCUACUCUCUGUUAUUAUCAUCUAUGCAUAGUCACUUUAAUAACUCUGCCUACAUGUAUAUAUUACCUCAAUUACCUCGACUAACCGGUGCCCCCGCACAUUGACCCUGUACCGGUACCCCCUGUACAUAGCCUCCACAUUGACUCUGUACCGGUACCCCCUGUAUAUAGUCUCCACAUUGACUCUGUACCGGUACCCCCUGUAUAUAGUCUCCACAUUGACUCUGUACCGGUACCUCCUGUAUAUAGCCUCCACAUUGACUCUGUACAGGUACCCCCUGUAUAUAGUCUCCACAUUGACUCUGUACCGGUACCCCCUGUAUAUAGUCUCCACAUUGACUCUGUACCGGUACCCCCUGUAUAUAGUCUCCACAUUGACCCUGUACCGGUACCCCCUGUAUAUAGUCUCCACAUUGACCCUGUACCGGUACCCCCUGUAUAUAGUCUCCACAUUGACCCUGUACCGGUACCCCCCUGCAUAUAGUCUCGCUAUUAUUUUACUGCUGCUCUUUAAUUACUUGUUAUUUCUUAUUCUUAAUAUUUCUUAUUCUUAUUCUUAAUUACUUGUUAUUUCUUAUUCUUAUCAGUUUUUUUUAAAACUGCAUUGUUGGUUAGUUACUUCUCAGUAAGCAUUUCACUGUAAGGUCUACGCUAGUUGUAUUUUGUGCAUGUGACAAAUAAAAUUUGAUUUGAUUUUGUUUUGUUUAUGUAUUUCUAUAUAUUCUUUUGGAGGGGGGAUUAGUAUGAUUUUGUUUAUCAAGAACAUAUUUUGUUUUUGGGGUAUUUUUUACUAACCAGCAGGUGGUGGCAAUACACCUGAUGACUGUGGUCUGCCAAUAAACCUCAGAGAAGAUAGAUUAUUUGAUGUAUCUUGCUUCAAUAACAUGGACUAGCUGGCUGGCGCAUGUCGUAGGCCA
ensembl:lncRNA